rnacentral:miRNA from 1 species
CCAGUGGAGGUGGUGUUACUUU